UCCCUAGGCUAAGUGACAACAAGUGGAG
rnacentral:piRNA from 1 species